rnacentral:lncRNA from 1 species
CCCGCCUCUCUCCGGAGUGGACCUUGGUGGUGCAGUUAGGAUCUUCUGGCUGGUGUUUGGAUUCUAGCUCAUUUCUGCAGACUUCCUCCGCCCGGGGCCCAGCGCAGUGGAGACAGGUUGCGCGUGGGCAACAUGAAGCGCCUGGGCUCGGUGCAGCGGAAGAUGCCGUGUGUGUUUGUGACGGAGGUGAAAGCUGAGCCUUCAGCCAAGCGGGAGCAUCAGGUACCCGGCGGCGAGUGCUGCUGGGCGGCUCCUCCAGUGCUGCGCUGCUGCCCCGGAGCCCAGCACGUUUUACCCGGGAGGUCUGGGUGAAGUUCCCAUUUCCCCUGACCUCCAGCUUCUUGUAUCUUCUUAGUUGCAAGGAGUGUGGGAGAGUCCUUUGUAAAUUGUAUCCUCCCCGAUCAGGUGAUUCAAACGUGUUCUGGCAGAUUUGAAAACCUACUUGGUCAUCUUCCCUUAACAGCACUGGAAUAAUGAGAUAUCAUGGUAGUCUAACAUGGAACUACUGUCAAAAGUCUGAUGAGAAGGCAUUGUUUACCUGUUGUGUGCUAGGCACCUAUGGCAUUGCUGACAGCUAGCCUAACUAGGUCACGCAAAUCAGACCUCGUGUAAUUUCUUGCUUAAUUUGAGUUCUCAUCCGAAGGUGUACUAGUCGUAUUGCUACGUGUUUUACACAUAGUGAGCCUUUAGUGAAAGUAAGAGAAUGAAUAUAUAGAUAGCUUAUAUCAGUAUGGUUCUUUGAUAUGUAGCAGUUCUUAACUUCUCACUCAGGAUCUGCAUGUGCAUCUGAAGUGACUUUUCAACAUUACCGCUGAACCUUUGGCCCUCUGGUCUUUUUAUUUUUUUAUUUUUUGUAAUUAGCGUACAAAGAGGUUUCCUCGUGUCAUUUUCUUAAUAAUUUAGGUUGUCCCCUCUCCCCUUCAACAAACUUCACAAGCUCCCUGUAAUCUCCAAAUCUCCAGCUCGCUCCCCCACCCCCCACUCCCGCUACCAUUUUGGUGCUCUAUCACUCUCCCAUCACCUUUAGAGCCUGACUCUUAACACAGAUGAACAGAUAAACUCUGGGCUGGGGCAAUAUGGGAGACUCCAUUAGAGGGGGGCUUCUUCUCUGACCUUGUUGGGGAAUUCUAAGCCCUCACAUAGCCUGCAGCCUCAAUUAGCACACAGGACCAUUCUCUUUCUAAUGGAAAGAACAGCACUUGAGAUUCCUUAAAAGCUUCUUCCCUAAUGAGGCAUUUUGGUAACCUAAACCCUCAGCCAAUGAAUGACCUUUCUGCCCAUCCCACCCUCAGACACUCAAAACAUAAGCCUUGAAUCACCCAAAGUAAUAUGCCUCCUGAUAGUUGGUCGCCGUGUGGGUAUUCACAGUAUACAUUCACAGGGCUUCCGAAUCCUCUUGCACCCACUACGCGACCUCUGCCAUCUCUGUUCGCUUGUGGACCAUAUUGGUCUCUGAUCCAAGAGACUGGGGAGACCCACAGGUUAGUAGCUCAGGAUAAACCCCAGAGUAUUGCACAUGCUAGAUGAGAAAUGCUUCCCCGUGCCCGUUGAGCUCCAUCCCUGUCCUGUAAGAUGCUCUGUGACUUGAAGGUCUUAUGCAGAUCAUCAUGUAAGACCAUCACAGCUGACAUGCUGACCAGAGAUGACAUGCUAAGAGAAGAGAAAUGUGAUGUUUGAUCAUGUUGUUGAGGAGAUCAGUCAUGAAAAGGGUGCAUUCAUGAAGCAUUUUGACUUUGGCUUUUUAAAGAAAUUGUCAAUUUUAGGAACUGCUGGUUUUGUUUUGUUUUGGAGGAACAUUGAAAGGAAGACUAGAAUUACCCCAGAAAGUUCUUAGUGAUACAUAUCUCUAUGAUGAGAUCAUACAUCUUGUUCUUACUUCUAUAUAUUCUAACAUGUUUCUAUGGUAAGCGUGUGGAUUUCAGCUUUGCAAGGAAGUCUUAAAAAUGGAAAGUAGGAGCCAUGUUUUUAUCAUUUUCUGAAAAUAUGGCCUGAGACAGAGGCCAUCUCUGCUAGACCCCCACUACAACUGAGAGCCAAGUGUGAUUUGAAAAAAUGAAUUUUGUAAAUAUCUCAUUAUAUUAAUGACUCCAAGACUUAAUCUUGGAGUGUGGGGAAUCAUGACUGGUAAAUACACUGGUUGAACCAGAACAGCCUCUGGAAUUAAGCAAGCAUGAGAUCUAACUUUACCUGUACUUUGUUCCAAACACACCCAAACACGUGUACGGACUUGCAUUCUACAGAUGUGAGAAUGUCCUGACUGUGGGCCUUUUCUUCCCAUCUAUCAGGCCUGAUGUUUCUCCACAGAGGACUCCCUGAGCCGUUCUCCUAUCCCUUUUCCUCUUUGGUACUUCUCGGUGUUGUAGCCCACCAAAGCUGAGCACUUCUUUAUCCGUCUCUGUAUUCCCAGUGUCAAGAAUAGUGUUUAUUGUAGAUAAUGCAUGGUCACAAAGAAUAGGAUCGUGCACCUUGAACCUGUGCUGAGGAUGCAACACAGAGUAAGGCAUGUCUCCCGGCUUCAUUGUGGUGGGUGAGAUGCACGCCAAUACCCAACAGUCUGUCUAGAAGUCGAAUUUUACUGUGAUCACAUUUUUAAACAAAAAGGGUAGGUGAGCUGGUGUGGUAGAACAGGAAGGGGGUCCCAGAACUACAGCCUAAAGCAAACGGGUCAGGAUAUUAAGGGCAGUCUGGGCUGCAGAGUGACACAGUCCUAAAAAAGAAUUAAAACAAAAACAAAACAAAACAAAACC